UUAGCAGGCUUAUCUUAUCGACUUAUUUAUAAGUAGGAAAGUCCGAACACUAGAGAGUAAUCAUAGCGGAUAACAACCGUCCAACGUAAGUUGAGGACCAGUGCAACAGAAAGAAUGUACAGUUAGGCUGUAGUGAAACCAGGUAAACUCUAUGAGGUGCAAUGUCAUGUAUAUUAGAGCUUGAGAGCUACUCGCUCGAUUCUAAAGGGUAGACAGAUAGAUUCUAAGAGUAAUUUUAGAACUAGAUAAAUGAUAAGAACCUUUUUAAGGAAACAGAAUUCGGCUUAUUAGCCUGCUUUUUUA
rnacentral:RNase_P_RNA from 1 species